UACGUAGGGACCGAGCGUUGUCCGGAUUCAUUGGGCGUAAAGAGCUCGUAGGCGGCUAUUCAAGUCGAACGUGAAAUCUCGGAGCUCAACUCCGAACUGCGUUCGAUACUGGGUAGCUAGAGUCUGGUAGGGGGAUCUGGAAUUCCUGGUGUAGCGGUGGAAUGCGCAGAUAUCAGGAGGAACACCGGUGGCGAAGGCGGGAUCCUGGGCCGGCAUUGACGCUGAGGAGCGAAAGCCAGGGGAGCAAACGGG
rnacentral:rRNA from 1 species